rnacentral:lncRNA from 1 species
CUUUUUAGUUAACUUAAAACAGCAAAACAAUGAUGGCUUAUGCCGAGCUCUCUCAUUUUCACCAUCCUCGCACUUCAUGCCCUCUCCCAGAGCCCACCACCCAACUCACUCUCUCUCUCUCUUAAAGCAACAAAACAUUGAUGGCCUACGCUGAGUUCUCUCAUUUUCACCAUCCUCGCGCUUCGCACCAUCUCUCCUAGAGCCCACCACCCAACUCACUCUCUCUCUUAAAGCAACAAAACAUUGAGGGCCUACGCUGAGCUCUCUCAUUUUCACCAUCCUUAUGCUUCACGCCGUGUCUCCUAGAGCCCACCACCCAACUCUCUCUCUUUCUCUCAGGGUCUUGGUUCGAUUCUUCUUUUUGUUGGAGUCAAAUUCAAGGAGUUGGUAAUCUGUAGUAGUUUUUGUGCAGAUCUCUCGAUGAUGGAAGCAACUUGUGUCAUUGAUCUAUAGACCUCUAGGGUUCGAAAUGGAGGGUUUCAACAUGAAAGAUUUGUCCACUAUUGGAGGGAUCGUGAUCGUCUCACUGCUACAUUCCUUCAUCCCCACACGCUGGCCAUCAUCCCGGUGAAGGCCGUGUGUGAGGUGUCCCAGCCAUCGCCCAGACCAUCUCCCUUGACCCUAAUGUCUUGCUCUCCUCCCUUGUCGCUGCCUCUGCCGUCCCUUGCCUCUUUGACCCCUCCAC